UGGCUCAGAACGAACGCUGGCGGCGCGUUUAAGCAUGCAAGUCGAGCGGCAAGGGCCUUCGGGCCCUAGAGCGGCGGACGGGUGAGUAACACGUGGACAAUCUGCCCCCCGGCCCGGGAUAGCCCAGGGAAACCUGGAUUAAUACCGGAUGAGACGGGACCCGCGAUGGCGGGAUCCGGGAAAGGCGCUGCGGCGCCGCCGGGGGAUGAGUCUGCGUCCCAUUAGCUAGACGGCGGGGUAACGGCCCACCGUGGCGACGAUGGGUAGCCGGCCUGAGAGGGUGGACGGCCACAUUGGAACUGAGACACGGUCCAGACUCCUACGGGAGGCAGCAGCUAAGAAUCUUCCGCAAUGGGCGAAAGCCUGACGGAAGCGACGCCGCGUGAACGAAGAAGGCCGUGAGGUUGUAAAGUUCUUUUCGGGAGGGGGAACAACCGUGGCAGGGAAUGGCCGCGGGAUGACGUGAAUCCCGGAAUAAGCCCCGGCUAACUACGUGCCAGCCGCCGC
rnacentral:rRNA from 1 species